rnacentral:rRNA from 1 species
UACGGGGGGGGCAAGCGUUGUUCGGAAUUACUGGGCGUAAAGGGCGCGCAGGCGGCUGCUCAAGUCAGGCGUGAAAGGCCUGGGCUCAACCCGGGAAUUGCGCUUGAGACUGGGCUGGCUUGAGUGCGGGAGAGGAUGGUGGAAUUCCAGGUGUAGCGGUGAAAUGCGUAGAUAUCGGGAGGAACACCAGUGGCGAAGGCGACUACCUGGCCUGUUCUUGACGCUGAGGCGCGAAAGCUAGGGGAGCAAACGGG